rnacentral:rRNA from 1 species
AACGUAGCCAUAGCGAAAGCGAGUUUUAAUAGAGCGUUUAGUUGUAUGUCAUAGACCCGAAACUGAAGUGAGCUAGCCAUGAGCAGGUUGAAGUUUAGGUAAAACUAAAUGGAGGACCGAACCAGGACACGUUGAAAAGUGUUUGGAUGACUUGUGGCUAGGGGUGAAAUUCCAAUCGAACUCAGAGAUAGCUGGUUCUCCCCGAAAUAGCUUUAGGGCUAGCGUUGAUUAUAAUUUUUUUUGAAGGUAGAGCACUAAAUGAGUGAUGGUUCCACCUCGGGAUACUGACCUCAAUUAAACUCCGAAUGUCAUUAAAAUAAAAUCAGCAGUCAGACUAUGGGUGAUAAGGUCCAUAGUCAAAAGGGAAAGAGCCCAGACCGUCAGCUAAGGUCCCUAAAUUAAUGUUAAGUGGAAAAGGAAGUGAAGAUGUUCAGACAACUAGGAAGUUGGCUUAGAAGCAGCCAUCUUUUAAAGAGUGCGUAAUAGCUCACUAGUCAAAUGACUUUGCACCGAAAAUGUACCGGGGCUAAAACAUUAUACCGAAGCUACGGAUAAAAAUAUUAAAAUAUUUUAUAUGGUAGGGGAAGCGUUCUGAUUUCAGUGAAGUCAUAGCGUAAGCAGUGGUGGAGAGAUCAGAAGUGAGAAUGCCGGUGUAAGUAACGAAAAGAUAGGUGAGAAUCCUAUCCGUCGAAAACCCAAGGUUUCCAGGGGCAGGUUCGUCCUCCCUGGGUUAGUCAGGUCCUAAGAUGAGGAAGAAAUUCGUAGUCGAUGGCAAGCAGGCUAAAAUUCCUGCACUAAAAAAACAACUGAUGGAGGGACAAAGAAGGAUAAGCACGCCUUUUAUUGGAUUAAGGUAGAAGAACCAAGUUUGAGAAAAUAGGCAAAUCCGUUUUCUUAUUCCAAAAAAUGAGGUUUGAAGGUAAAGUGACUGAUUUCAUACUUUCAAGAAAAGCUUCUAGGGUUAAUUGUUUUUUUACCUGUACCGUAAACCGACACAGGUGGGAAGGUAGAGUAUACUAAGAAUACUAAGACGCGCGAGAAAACUCUUGUUAAGGAACUCGGCAAAAUGACUCCGUAACUUAGGGAUAAGGAGAGCUUUUAUUUCAAAAGUAAAAGCCGCAGAUAAUAGGCCCAAGCGACUGUUUAUCAAAAACAUAGGUCUCUGCUAAACCGUGAGGUGAUGUAUAGGGGCUGAUGCCUGCCCGGUGCUGGAAGAUUAAAAGGAGAUGUUCGGGAAACCAAAGCAUUGGAGAUGUUCGGGAAACCAAAGCAUUGAAUUGAAGUCCCAGUGAACGGCGGCCGUAACUAUAACGGUCCUAAGGUAGCGAAAUUCCUUGUCGGGUAAAUUCCGACCCGCACGAAAGGCAUAACGAUUUGGGCGCUGUCUCAACAAGAGUCUCGGUGAAAUCAAAUUACCGGUGAAAAUGCCGGUUACCCGCGACAGGACGAAAAGACCCCAUGGAGCUUUACUGCAACUUAAUAUUGAAUUUGGAAAACUCAUGUACAGAAUAAGUGGGAGACUAUGAAUUUAAAACGCUAGUUUUAAAGGAGUCGCCUUUGGGAUACCACUCUUGGGUUUUUUAGCUUCUAACCUACACAAGUGUAUUGUGAGGGACAGUGUUUGGUGGGCAGUUUGACUGGGGCGGUCGCCUCCUAAAGAGUAACGGAGGCGUUCAUAAGGUUCCUUCAAAAUGGUCGGAAAUCAUUUCGAGAGCGUAAAGGCAUAAAGGAGCUUGACUGCGAGACAUACAAGUCGAGCAGGGACGAAAGUCGGACUUAGUGAUCUUACGGUACCGCAUGGAAGGGCCGUAACUCAACGGAUAAAAGCUACCCUGGGGAUAACAGGCUUAUCGCUUCCGAGCGUUCACAGCGACGAAGCGGUUUGGCACCUCGAUGUCGGCUCAUCGCAUCCUGGAGCUGGAGAAGGUUCCAAGGGUUGGGCUGUUCGCCCAUUAAAGCGGAACGCGAGCUGGGUUCAGAACGUCGUGAGACAGUUCGGUCUCUAUCCGUCGUGGGCGUUGGAAAUUUGAAAGGAACUGUCCCUAGUAUGAGAAGACCGGGAUGGAUAUACCUCUGGUGUUUCAGUUGGUUCGCCAGAGCCACAGCUGAGUAGCUAUGUAUAGAAGGGAUAAACACUGAAAGCAUCUAAGUGUGAAGCCUCCCUUAAGAUGAGAUUUCCCUAUGAGAUCCCUGAAAGAC